GGAUAUAUAGCUCAGUUGGUAGAGCAAGGCGCUGUUAACGCCUGGGUCGGUGGAUCAUGCCCAUCUAUAUCCG
rnacentral:tRNA from 1 species